UCGGUUCAAUGGUCGACGGUGGUUGCGUAUAGGAAAGAAGAAGAUGACGGAAGUUGCAUAGGAGUUGGUAUGGCUUGGCUAGGACAACUCGCGGACAGGAACAAUGGGCAAGAAUUGCAUACGAGGCAAAGCUUAGGACGAUUUGUUUUUUGAGGAACUGAGCAGGAGGAACAAGGGAGAGCAGUAACAAUGGGAAGAAGCGCUCCCUGUCCUAAUCGAUCAUGGUUGUGGCCUUGCCUUCUCAAAGGUGUUUCAUUGCAUUCUUGCCGGUUUGAAUUGUUUUGUUCCUCAAGUUGAGGAUGCUAUUCCAGUCCAAUGGUACAGCGUAUUAUCUUAUCUCUUUCUUUAUUUGAUGGGUGCUUAUCCAUCUUAAGACUGCAACUGCAAGUUCCAUUGUCAUCUACAUGUCUUUCAGAUUGUUUUUAUACGGUGGAGAAGCUUUGUGCAGGGUUGUGAACCUGUGAUGCAUCAGUGGACGAAUCUGGUUUACGAGAAAGAGACACAUGCGAGCGCUUUGUUUUCUUCUUUCAGGGUGCCUCCUACAGAUACAAGUACAUGCUCAAGUCAGGUAUAUAUUUUUGUUUCUUUGUCCACCGGUUAGACUAAAACUUCUUUUAGUAGGGUAAAUCUAAUAUUUUGUGGUAACUAUCCAGAGAAAAAAAAUGGAUGGAGUGAGUUGAUUUGCGAUUCCUACAAAGUAAAUAAUAGAAAUUCUAAUAAAGUAUUGGUUAAACUAAAACAUUCACAAUUCCUUUUGGGAUUCUUCGGAUCCAAAUCCUAACCAAUCCAUUUGGUUAACACAAAUGGAUUACUGAAAUGAAUAUGCAAAAAAAAUCAGAGAUGAUGACCUUGGGAUUGACAAUGCAUUGUCAUCAAAUAGACACUACGACCACUAUCGUAGAGGGCAGAAAGGAGGAUAAGCAACACCAAUGGGAUGCCAUGUUUGAAUAGAGAACAUAGAAUUGUGUGGGGAGAGGGUUAUACUUUAACCAUUAAGUCAUGCUUGUUAGGCUAGGGGUAUGUAGUAUUUUUUUCUCCCGUUGCAACGCACGGGCCUUUUUGCUAGUAUAACUUUAACGACUACAAUCGUGAGAAUUUUUUCCAUUCUUUUUUUGGCCCAUGCCUUCCACUAAUUUUCUGCACAACGAAGAUAUAGGCUACACACCUCCACAUGAUUUCUCUCUCAAAAAAAUAACCUCCACAUGAUUGCCACUCCAAACUCCAAAGGAUUUCCAGCCACAACUCACGUGUGGUGGGGAAGACAAGUCAAGUCAAGUGGAGCAUUAGGUACACACUCUACUGUGUAAACACACACACACACACACAAAGAUACUUCAAUCCACUCCUUUAUUCUUGCUAGGAGUCUCGCUACUCUGCCUCGCACGGUCACCGGAGUCUGGUCGACGGUAAGACUCUGGUAACUACAAACCCUUCCAUCUCCCCAAUCAUGCUUUCUCCAGUUGUCCAUGGAGCUGUUGCUUGCUGAAUUUAGGCUUUGUUUUUUCUGAUGAAGGGCUCUUAAUUUAGGCUUAGUUGGAAUAAUUCCUUGCAAUACUACUAUUUUUAAUUGUCAGUGCCUUCGAUGAUCCAUGCUCCAUCUGCACACAUAUUUAUUAUGUGUGUUUAUAUUCUCAAAAAAGAUGGCAUGUGUUUAUCUGUUAACCGUAUCACUUAGCUAAGAUCGCCACAAGAUAUUGGUAGUUGUACGCUUUCUAAAAAGGAACAUAUUUUCCUCACAAAACUAAGAGACGAUCAACAUUAGGAAUUGCAACUUUAUAGACAGUACUAAUCUAGACUGGUAUCCAUGGUAACCAUGUGUGUUCCUGUACCAUUUAGUUUGUAUAGCCAGUGAGGAAUUAAGCAUAUAUUUUUGGCAUGAGCUCUUUUCAAUUGCUAGAUGAGAAGGAAUCUUAACUUAAUUGGUCUUGUGAAUUGUAAUAUACUAUUUGGUUGAACUGAUGAUAUUUGCAUACUAAUAAGUUUUCACUUUCCCGACGUGGACGCAUGGUUGAUUGACGAGGACUAGCGCGGCCCGGUGGGCGCUGUGCUCUUCAACCCGGUGAAGCCCGGCGGCCACGUCGCAUAGAUGAUCGUCCAGGUGAUCGUGACACCGAAGGUUGCCGAGGUGGAGGACCUCGACACCACCGUCCGAGGAUGGGGGGGGGCGAGGAUUUGGGUCCACCGGCAUCUGAACUCCGAGCCUUGGUAGAUACAUCUAGAGAACAAGUUUGUUUAGGUUGGUGGUGAACACUAGGGAAGGUACCCACGUUUCGAUGAUGGUUGUGUGCGUAUGAUGUUAAAUGGACUCUUGUGAUCUCUUCUAGUUGGGAUGGUUCUAUGACCUUAGUUUAUCUUGCACUGGAUGUGUCUCUGAUUUC